UCAGCUCGUGUCGUGAGAUGUUGGGUUAAGUCCCGUAACGAGCGCAACCCUUGUCCUUAGUUACCAGCACGUAAUGGUGGGCACUCUAAGGAGACUGCCGGUGACAAACCGGAGGAAGGUGGGGAUGACGUCAAGUCAUCAUGGCCCUUACGGCCAGGGCUACACACGUGCUACAAUGGUCGGUACAAAGGGUUGCCAAGCCGCGAGGUGGAGCUAAUCCCAUAAAACCGAUCGUAGUCCGGAUCGCAGUCUGCAACUCGACUGCGUGAAGUCGGAAUCGCUAGUAAUCGCGAAUCAGAAUGUCGCGGUGAAUACGUUCCCGGGCCUUGUACACACCGCCCGUCACACCACGAGAGUUUGUAACACCCGAAGUCGGUGAGGUAACCGUAAG
rnacentral:rRNA from 1 species